rnacentral:rRNA from 1 species
AUACGGAGGAUCCGAGCGUUAUCCGGAUUUAUUGGGUUUAAAGGGAGCGUAGGCGGAUGUUUAAGUCAGUUGUGAAAGCUUAAGGCUCAACCUUGAAAUUGCAGUUGAUACUGGACUUCUUGAGUGCAUUAAAUGUGGGCGGAAUUCGUAAUGUAGCGGUGAAAUGCUUAGAUAUCACGCAGAACUCCAAUUGCGAAGGCAGCUCACAGAGCUGUAACUGACGCUGAUGCUCGAAAGUGUGGGUAGCAAACAGGAUUAGAUACCCUGGUAGUCCACGCAGUAAACGAUGAAUACUCGCUGUUUGCGAUAUACAGUAAGCGGCCAAGCGAAAGCAAUAAGUGAUCCACCUGGGGAGUACGCCGGCAACGGUGA